rnacentral:rRNA from 1 species
UACGUAGGUGGCUAGCGUUGUCCGGAUUUACUGGGCGUAAAGAGCGCGCAGGCGGUCGUUCAAGUCGAGUGUGAAAGCCCCCGGCUCAACUGGGGAGGGUCACUCGAUACUGAUCGACUCGAAGGCAGGAGAGGGGAGCGGAAUUCCCGGUGUAGUGGUGAAAUGCGUAGAUAUCGGGAGGAACACCAGUGGCGAAGGCGGCUUUCUGGCCUGUUCUUGACGCUGAGGCGCGAAAGCUAGGGUAGCAAACGGG